rnacentral:rRNA from 1 species
UACGGAGGGGGCUAGCGUUGUUCGGAAUUACUGGGCGUAAAGCGCACGUAGGCGGCUUUGUAAGUUAGAGGUGAAAGCCCGGGGCUCAACUCCGGAAUUGCCUUUAAGACUGCAUCGCUAGAAUUGUGGAGAGGUAAGUGGAAUUCCGAGUGUAGAGGUGAAAUUCGUAGAUAUUCGGAAGAACACCAGUGGCGAAGGACGACUUACUGGACACAUAUUGACGCUGAGGUGCGAAAGCGUGGGGAGCAAACAGG